rnacentral:lncRNA from 1 species
AGGGAAUGGAGUGUUUGUUGUUUGUUUUCCUUGGGUUUUGCUUACUUGGCACAUUGGAAGUAGCAUUUGAGGUUGAAUCCUUUUAUCCUUUGGUUUGGAAGCAUUCUUUGCACCCAACAAUUGCAUUGUUCACGUGAAUUGCUUGGCUUGGUGUGGUUUCCAUUUUAUUUUGUUGCAUGCAAGGAGUGAUGGACGGUUUUAGUUGAUUGGAAGGCAUAUGUUUGUUGUCUUGAAGUAUGGAGCACAUGGAUAAGAAGUCAACACACCUUGCAUGUUCAUUUAAGGAAGAAAAGUCAAAAUUGAAAUUGGACCUUAGUGGGCUAGGAGCUCACGGCCCAAGGGGGUUUCUCAAGUUAUUUGCACCUUUUAAUUUCAAUUGGUAGAUGAAUAUUGGUCACAUAAUUGAUAGAAGAAAAAGCAUGUUUAAUUAUCUCUUGUUUUGCAUUAAUUUGCAUAGUAGGAUUAGUUGCAUUUGAUUCCUCUAAUUUAGUGUUGCAUUUUAAUAGUCUUAAUUGUGUUUAGAUAAUUGUUUGUUGAAAUGUUGGGUUUAGCACUUUAUUUUACCUUGAUGUUUUCUAACUUACACAGUUGAGUUUAAUGUCCAUUCAUUUUAAUUUAGUUAUUCGUAUUCACAAAAACACUUUUCAAACCCCCCCU